rnacentral:rRNA from 1 species
GAUGAACGCUGGCGGCGUGCCUAAUACAUGCAAGUCGAGCGAACAGAUGAGGAGCUUGCUCCUCUGACGUUAGCGGCGGACGGGUGAGUAACACGUGGAUAACCUACCUAUAAGACUGGGAUAACUUCGGGAAACCGGAGCUAAUACCGGAUAAUAUAUUUAACCGCAUGGUUCAAUAGUGAAAGACGGUUUUGCUGUCACUUAUAGCUGGAUCCGCGCCGCAUUAGCUAGUUGGUAAGGUAACGGCUUACCAAGGCAACGAUGCGUAGCCGACCUGAGAGGGUGAUCGGCCACACUGGAACUGAGACACGGUCCAGACUCCUACGGGAGGCAGCAGUAGGGAAUCUUCCGCAAUGGGCGAAAGCCUGACGGAGCAACGCCGCGUGAGUGAUGAAGGUCUUCGGAUCGUAAAACUCUGUUAUUAGGGAAGAACAAAUGUGUAAGUAACUAUGCACGUCUUGACGGUACCUAAUCAGAAAGCCACGGCUAACUACGUG